rnacentral:rRNA from 1 species
AAUAGAUACCCGGGUAGUCCACGCCGUAAACGAUGAGUGCUAAGUGUUAGGGGGUUUCCGCCCCUUAGUGCUGCAGCUAACGCAUUAAGCACUCCGCCUGGGGAGUACGGCCGCAAGGCUGAAAUUCAAAGGAAUUGACGGGGGCCCGCACAAGCGGUGGAGCAUGUGGUUUAAUUCGAAGCAACGCGAAGAACCUUACCAGGUCUUGACAUCUCCUGACCGCCCUGGAGACAGGGUCUUCCCUUCGGGGACAGGAUGACAGGUGGUGCAUGGUUGUCGUCAGCUCGUGUCGUGAGAUGUUGGGUUAAGUCCCGCAACGAGCGCAACCCUUGUCCUUAGUUGCCAGCAUUCAGUUGGGCACUCUAAGGAGACUGCCGGCUAAAAGUCGGAGGAAGGUGGGGAUGACGUCAAAUCAUCAUGCCCCUUAUGACCUGGGCUACACACGUGCUACAAUGGGCGGUACAGAGGGUCGCGAACCCGCGAGGGGGAGCCAAUCCCAAAAAGCCGCUCUCAGUUCGGAUUGGAGGCUGCAACUCG